GAUGAACGCUGGCGGCGUGCCUAAUACAUGCAAGUCGAGCGAACGGACGAGAAGCUUGCUUCUCUGAUGUUAGCGGCGGACGGGUGAGUAACACGUGGAUAACCUACCUAUAAGACUGGGAUAACUUCGGGAAACCGGAGCUAAUACCGGAUAAUAUUUUGAACCGCAUGGUUCAAAAGUGAAAGACGGUCUUGCUGUCACUUAUAGAUGGAUCCGCGCUGCAUUAGCUAGUUGGUAAGGUAACGGCUUACCAAGGCAACGAUGCAUAGCCGACCUGAGAGGGUGAUCGGCCACACUGGAACUGAGACACGGUCCAGACUCCUACGGGAGGCAGCAGUAGGGAAUCUUCCGCAAUGGGCGAAAGCCUGACGGAGCAACGCCGCGUGAGUGAUGAAGGUCUUCGGAUCGUAAAACUCUGUUAUUAGGGAAGAACAUAUGUGUAAGUAACUGUGCACAUCUUGACGGUACCUAAUCAGAAAGCCACGGCUAACUACGUGCCAGCAGCCGCGGUAAUACGUAGGUGGCAAGCGUUAUCCGGAAUUAUUGGGCGUAAAGCGCGCGUAGGCGGUUUUUUAAGUCUGAUGUGAAAGCCCACGGCUCAACCGUGGAGGGUCAUUGGAAACUGGAAAACUUGAGUGCAGAAGAGGAAAGUGGAAUUCCAUGUGUAGCGGUGAAAUGCGCAGAGAUAUGGAGGAACACCAGUGGCGAAGGCGACUUUCUGGUCUGUAACUGACGCUGAUGUGCGAAAGCGUGGGGAUCAAACAGGAUUAGAUACCCUGGUAGUCCACGCCGUAAACGAUGAGUGCUAAGUGUUAGGGGGUAUCCGCCCCUUAGUGCUGCAGCUAACGCAUUAAGCACUCCGCCUGGGGAGUACGACCGCAAGGUUGAAACUCAAAGGAAUUGACGGGGACCCGCACAAGCGGUGGAGCAUGUGGUUUAAUUCGAAGCAACGCGAAGAACCUUACCAAAUCUUGACAUCCUUUGACAACUCUAGAGAUAGAGCCUUCCCCUUCGGGGGACAAAGUGACAGGUGGUGCAUGGUUGUCGUCAGCUCGUGUCGUGAGAUGUUGGGUUAAGUCCCGCAACGAGCGCAACCCUUAAGCUUAGUUGCCAUCAUUAAGUUGGGCACUCUAAGUUGACUGCCGGUGACAAACCGGAGGAAGGUGGGGAUGACGUCAAAUCAUCAUGCCCCUUAUGAUUUGGGCUACACACGUGCUACAAUGGACAAUACAAAGGGCAGCGAAACCGCGAGGUCAAGCAAAUCCCAUAAAGUUGUUCUCAGUUCGGAUUGUAGUCUGCAACUCGACUACAUGAAGCUGGAAUCGCUAGUAAUCGUAGAUCAGCAUGCUACGGUGAAUACGUUCCCGGGUCU
rnacentral:rRNA from 1 species